UGCCCCCUCGGGGGAAUGUGUGACGGCGUGCCUUUUGCAUAAUGAUCCGGCGAGUUACCGUCUGCGGCUUGGUUAAGGCCUUCCGGGCCGAAGCCCAAGGGAAACCGAGUGUGAAUAGCGCGAUUUUGUCGUAGGUGGUAGACGCGAAACCUGGUGAUCUACCCAUGGACAGGUUGAAGCGCGAGUUAUAUCGCGUGGAGGACCGAACCCACUUAGGUUGAAAACUGAGGGGAUGAUCUGUGGGGAGGAGUGAAAGUCUAAUCAAACCAGGAGAUAGCUCGUUCUCUUCGAAAUAGCUUUAGGGCUAGCCUUGAGUCACUACGCAUCGGGGGUAGAGAUACUGAAUCGGUUUGGGGCCCUUCCCGGGGUACCCUGCUGAACCAAACUCCGAAUACCGAUGCGACUAUCUCAGGAGUCAGUCCGCGGGGGAUAAGCUCCGCGGUCGAGAGGGAAACAACCCAGACCAUCUGCUAAGGUCCCGAAGUCGUUGCUUAGUCACUAAGGAAGUUGAAUUGCUGAGACAGCCAGGAUGUUGGCUUAGAAGCAGCCACCAUUUAAAAAGUGCGUAACAGCUUACUGGUCGAGCAAUUUUGCGCCGAUAAUGAACGGGAGUUAAGUUUUACACCGAAGCAGUGGGAUCCACUUUGUGGAUCGGUAGGAGAGCGCUGUACGUCAGAUACAAGUCGCACCGAAAGGAGCGAUGGUGGGGCGUACAGGUGAUUAUGCCGGAAUGAGUAACGAUAAAGCAGGUGAGAAUCCUGCUCGCCGAAAGCCUAAGGUUUCCUGGGGAAGGUAAAUCCGCCCAGGGUUAGCCGGUUCCUUAGUCGAGGCCGAAAGGCGUAGACGAUGGAUAGCAGGUCAACAUUCCUGCGCCACAUGCCGGACUGAUGGAGGGACGGCGUCUGAAAGGUGAGGGGACGGAUAGAAAUGUCCCUCGCCUGUGUGGAGGGUAGCUGUAGGCAAAUCCGCAGCGACAUCCUGAAGCAUGGGACAAAGACGUUUAUGUUUCGAUAGUCACCAGAAGGACGUCCAAGAAAAGCUUCUAGGGUUGAUGGCAUGUGACCGUACUAAAACUGACACAGGUAGGCGGGACGAGAAGUCCUAGGCGCUCGGGAGAACACUGGUUAAGGAACUCUGCAAAAUGGCCCCGUAAGUUCGCGAUAAGGGGUGCCCUCUUUGGUUUACGCUGAGGAGGGUCACAGUAAAUCGGCAUCAGCGACUGUUUAUCAAAAACACAGGACUCUGCUAACUCGCAAGAGGAUGUAUAGAGUCUGACGCCUGCCCGGUGCUGGUAGGUUAAGGAAGAGGGUUAGCCGUAAGGCGAAGCUCGCGACCGAAGCCCCAGUAAACGGCGGCCGUAACUAUGACGGUCCUAAGGUAGCGAAGUUCCUUGUCGGGUAAGUUCCGACCUGCAUGAAAGGCGUAACGACUGAUGCACUGUCU
rnacentral:rRNA from 1 species